UAUCCUGUCAUAUGUUUUCACCUGAGCAUCUCAAUAUCUAAUACUCUUAUUUGCUUAAAAUACACGUGAUUAUUUUCUCCACCCUGACAUAUUUUAUGUUCAACUUUCUAAUUUCUAAAAAUGGACCUACCAUUGUCCUAUUUAUUCUUGCUUAAAUCUUGAUAUUUUCUUUGAGUUCAUGCUCCUUCGUAUUCACUCCAGCUGUGAUAAGUCACCAAUCCUUUGGGUUUUUACUUACCAGUAUUUCUAUUUCUGUUUCUAUAGCCUUAAAGCUGGAACUGUGUAGUCCCAGUUCCUCUGUGUAGCCCCCCAAGUCUGCUCUAUUUCAAUCUUCUCUUAAGGGAACUCCUUCCCUCCGUUUUUCUUUUCCUCCAUUUGAUACAUCACACUUAUAGAUGGGGCAUCUUCCCUAAUUACUGGCUUCAUCCUCAAUUCCCAGGACCCAUACCUUCACUGGCUUCCUAAAUUUAUUUAAUAAUUCUCAUAUACCUUUGAGAAGUUUCUAAUGAUAGGCAACAAAUGAAUAUUGACUACCUUUCUUAUUUUCCUUUAUUCACCAAAAUGAUUUUUAGGAUGUAGACAAUCUGUAUGCUUCAACAUACACCAAACUUACCAUUUUUGAAAUAUUUUACAAUCUACUUGAAAAGACUUCUUUAGACCCUAUAUUCAUGUAUUGUAAUAUUUAUCCUCUUUUAUGGCUAUACUCAAAUGCCACAUCACUAUAGUGCCUUCCCUCAUCACUGUAGCUAUCUCUUUUCACUCUACUUAUAUUGUAGAGGAUUUGUUACACUUCUUGAACUGCUGAUCUCAAGCGAUUUGCUUGCUUUGGCCUCCCAAAGUGCUGGGCUGACAGGCGUGAGCCACUGCACCUGGCCUGAUUUGUUCCACUUCUACUAUAUGCAUCACACAUGCCUGAUGCAUAUUUUAAUGCACGUUGGAUAAGGAUCGGCUUUGUACGACUUCAGUCUUUCUUGAUGUGUGACACCCACUUCUAUUUUGGCUCCACUUUAACAAAAUGAAUAAGUGAGAAGGUAAUACUGGAAACAGAACAUAACUGUGACUAGGAAUUUGGUCUUGACUCGCCAUUUAAUUUUCUGAUGUGCAUGACUGUUUUCUUCACAUGUGAAAUUUAACAUGAGGUUGAAACUGGAGAAUUUUAUAUUUUUCAUGAAAAAGGCAAUUUGGGAGAAAAGUCCAUUUUCCUGAGGAUAAGGUAUUGUAUGGUUUGACUGCUUUGCCUUGGCUGGUCAACACAUUUGUACACCUGGAUAGGCACAGUUUUCAGAAAUCCUUUCAAGCAUCUACCAAUUCUCCUGUCUACAAGUUUACCUUCCUCCCAUUUCUCAUUCCUAAUGACAAGGGAAAUAUCCAGUGUUAUCUGAAGUGGUCAUAAAAGACAUUUUUUUUCUUUUUAUGUGAGGAAUUGAAACUUAUGGCUUUAGAUUAUGGGGCUUACCAUCAAGGAAAGGGCGUAGCGUGGUCAGAGGACAAAACUUCUUCCUGCAUUUCUCAGGAAGUCUUUGAUUAGUGUGUCCACCUAGGAGCAAUUUUUUUUGGGGGGGGCGCUGGGAAAUAUACUUAAGUGAUUAAAUCCAAGUGUAGACAUGAGAGCUUUACCUAAAGCCAGGUCUAAUUACCAUACCUGAGAAUCAGGGAGUAUUUAAAAUUUGAGAAAUAAUUUUCUAUACUUGAAAGUCACUUAUGUAGGUAGGCCUCAGAUUAUAAUAAAUAACGUUUAUUGUGCUAUACUAUGUGGUAGGUAUGAGGUUAAGUAUUUUUACCUAUAUUAUAUCACUUAUUUCUUACAAAUGGAGCAAGGGAGCAAGCAAACAAGGGAGGUAUUAUUAUCCCUAUUUUAUGUAUUUAUGUAUUUAUUUUUGAUUUCUAUUCUUUUGGUUUUUUUGUUGUUUUUUAUUGAUGUAUCAUAGUUGUACAUGUUUUGGGGUACAUGUGAUAUUUUUGAUACAUGUAUACAAUGUGUAAUGAUCAAAUCAGAGUAAUUUGGAUAUUCAUCACCUCGAAUAUUUAUCUUUUCUUUGUGUUGGGAACAUUAUAAUUUUUCUCUGCUAGCUAUUUUAGAAUAUAUAAUAAAUUAUUGUUCCCUAUGAUUUCUCCAUUGUAUAAUUGAAUACUAAAAUUUAUUAUGUCUAUCUACAUAUCCCCAGUUCAAUAACUAUAAUUUCUCUGCUGUGCAAUCAAAUACUAGAACUUCUUCCUUCGAACGCUAUAUCCCUAAUUCAAUAACUAGUAAACUGAAGCUCAGCAUGGUCUAGGAACUUUGUUACAUUAACACAGCAAGUGAGUGUUGCAGCCUGGAUCCAAAAAUCAGGCCUGGUCGACCUCAAAGUCCAGAUUAUUGACCUUUCUACCAUAAUGUAUGGAGGAAUUAGAGAAAGAACAAAUCAGUGUGAAGGAGAAUUGUCAGUAAAAUUACAAGAAAAGAUUGAGAUCAUAAUUGACCUUUGAGGAUAAUAAAAUUUAAAGACCAAAAGGAUGGACUUCACAGAAACAUGACCUUAGGUUGUUUUUGCAGUUGUAGUAACUGGUUAUAUGACCAACAAAAUAUGAAGAAUGGGUACAAAUUCUGAUAGUAAUGAUCAGUCACUUUGCAAAUAUAAAGCUACUAUUUACUA
rnacentral:lncRNA from 1 species